UAAAGGGAGUUAUCUUUUGUUUUAAAAAAAAAUCCCUAAACAUGAAACUUUUUUUUUAACCCACAGUAGUCUAGCUUUUACAGCAAAAAGCACAAAGCAUUUAGAAAUAUGAGUUUAAAGGGUUUAAUUUUGCCUGUAAUUAAACUGGAUAAUUCUUUCACAAUAUAUGCGUAUAUGCUGGUUACACUGGAGUGUCUUCAUCCAGUACUAAAAGUAUAAGUGAGUGUCUAUAUAUGUGUGUGUACGCAUAGCUGUAUGUAGGUAUUUUCUACCUAUUCUGUGUAAGUGGCAGAUCAUGAUAUUCUUUCCUUUAGUGAAUCAGGUUUUCAGUCCUGAGGUUACUACUCAGCCCUUUUAUUUAAGACAAUUUCAUACUGAUUUCACUGGUUUUUUUUCACAGAGUUUUGCUCAGUUACAGUCUGAAUAGGAAAUUAAUGGUGUCUUCACAUUUUGGUGUAGAGUUAAUUCUGAGUAACUGUGACUUGUUUGUUGUGGGCUUCAGAGACGUGGAUACCCACACAUUGUCUCACAGUUCUUGAUAUCCAGCAGUCUUUUUGUCCUGUUUGUUGGGAAACCCUUCCAAAUCAUCUUUUUUCAUAUGUCAGCAUACAGUCAGAUUGUACCUCGCUGUGAAUUCCUGGAUCAUUAAGAAGAAUUAAAAAAAAUAAUUCUGAGACCUGAUGGAGACUGUGCCCUGCUUCUGUUUUGUCUGUUUAAUUAUUUUUUUCAGUCUUGAAUCUGCUUUAACGGCAUAGGUGUCUUUAAAAGGUCAGAAGAAUGGCCAUUUGGAAAGGUAAAAAACUGUAUUUAGGCUGUAUCUGUUUAGUUUGUUUUCUGUGACCAAAGGCCUCAAAUUUGUCUUAGCAUUUCCCACACUUAGCUUCAGCAGAGAGCCCCAUGGCCUGUAAUUAAUGAGCUAUGCUAUAAAUGCCACCACUUUGCUCAUGAAACAGUUCUGGUUUUACUUGAUUCUUGACAUUCAGGUGUGCUAGCAUGCUGACGUGUGUUUUACAACAUUUCACUAACUUAGCAUCUCAACUGUGCGUGCUAAAUGGCAAAUACCUUUUCGCAGCUUGGACAAAUACGGCUUAGAAAAAGAUUCUCAAUGGUCUAUCGCAUUUUCUUUGUUAUUAGGUUACUGGGGCUUUUUUAGUCACUUUGAUUGGAAGUUUAAAGAAAUCAUUCUUCUGGUGUUGCAGUUGCUGGAACUCCAUGACAGCAAUUAGACCAAUUCUUCUCUCCGGUUUCGGACAUGGGCACAGUCGUGCCUUCCUCAUGCAGCAAACAGCUCAAUAUUACUAUGCUGUCGAUGAAAAAGCUAGGCAGCUUCUGAAGAGUGCCUGGACUGAUGAAGAGACUUAGGCGUUGCAAUGCCUGAGUAUUUAUGAUGGUUAUGUAUGCAUCCAGCCCUGUGGUAGAACUGACAAUCUGGUGGGGGGUACCUACACUCUACAUACAGCUAGGGGAAGAAGUGAUGCAUUCAAACAGUAUCUGUAAAAAUUCGGGCACUGAAUAGGAACCACUUAGUACAUGUAGUCAUCUGGGCAGUGCUGGUGGGAAGGCAUAGGAGUAGCUGUCACAAUACUUUUUUCACUUGGUUGAAAACCUCAUACUAAACUUCUUUGGGAAGAGUUAUUUUUGCGAACCAAUUUUUAUUUCACUCCUCCACUUCUUUCCCCUCCCUCCAUCUUUUGGUAGUUGUGUGAAGUGUGAAUCUUACAUUCCCACAGCUAUAAUGCCAAUUUGAGUGUCUUCUGUUCUUUCUUUUUCUCUUUAUAAUCCCAACCCUCUGAAAUACGAUUUUAUUAGUGUAUUUAUCAGUGUAAUGCUGAGCCUGAGUAAUAGCAAUGAAUGAUUUCACAGGACAGACUUCUGUACUUUCUUUGGCUGCUCUUCUACAGUUAGCAGACAGGGGAAACUGUGUAACUAGUGAUUUACCAGUAUGGAACUCUCUCUUUAACCUGUUUAAGUGACCUCCCCAGCUUCUCUUUCUCUCUUAGGAUUUCUGUCUCUGGCGGUGUGCAGGCAAGCUGAAGGGGAUGUGGUGCUACUCGUGCAAUGCUCAGCAAACGCUGUACCCCACACUGGUUUCAGAACAAUCCCAAAGCCCUGAAAUUUGAAGGUAGCAGUCACGGAAGUAGAAGCAGUACUUUAAAUAAUGGCAACAAAGUGACAAAAAUGAAUUUUCCUAGAGGAGUACUAAAAAAAUCUACAGAUCUGUCAAAUUACCAUUGCCUUUCAUACUGAAAGAAGAAAUCAGGCUUAAGACUCCCGAUUUAUGUUGCUUCUGAAUAACAUUUCUUGUCUGACUUUGGAUCCAAGAAGAUAACCCUGAAGGAUGUGAAGAGGUACGCUGAAUGAGCACAUUUCUCAAGCACACAUUCACACUGCUUUUCAAGCAGUUUCAGGUUCUUUUCCCUUGUUUCUGGUGGAGGAAGAGAACAGUGGCAGGGGUUGUCUGUGCUGGGUUUGUAGGUCUUGCGCAGUAAUGCAACUUUCACACGUGACUGAUGACCUGAGCAACACUGGGAAGGCUAUUCUUGCACAAUGAGAGAAAAAAUACUGUCUAAUCUCUCACCCCUAAUAAAAAGAAAAUGUUUAUGCAGAAGAAUGGAUUUUCUACCAGAAAGGCUUUAAUGAUCGUGCAUUUAUAUUCUCAAAUUCCCAAUCUCAAGAGGUAAAGUAAUUAUGAUGUCAUUUGUAAUUGCGAUUUUUUUUCUUUACUUGUGUAGAUCUAACACCAAUGAGAUGAGGAUUAGGUGUACUACAGUCUUUCUUUACUGCCUGAUCCUCUUAAAAUGACUAAUAAUAUAUAACACAGGGAACACAUGCAGCUUUCCUCUGUGUUUACUGGCUGUCGCUCUGUCCCUGCUGCUUUGUAGAACAUUUACCAGAAUAAAGGAAGUACCUUACAAACUGGAUAUAUGUCUGACCAGGUCUAGGUGUUUGUUGAUUGUUUUCUUUUGGGGAGAGUAAUAGGCCGGCAAAGCACCUGAAAGGCAGUAUAAAUAACCAUGCUGAAAGGAAAAAGGUCACUGAUUUUUUUUUUUACGUGUACAAGUAGGAUUUUAAUACAGGAUGUUGCAGGGCACAUGCUCCACAACUUGAUAUCUCCAUACAAUUUCAAAAGCUGAACAAGAACACUUACCUUUUGCCUAACGCAAAGUUUGUGCAUGUGCAACUUAAGUGGUUUCGGUGGUUACUCUUGACAUGCAUGAGUGCUAAUUAGAGGAUAGCUAAUACAAUAGUUCUUGCCCAAGGGUUUCUAUGAGCUAGUAGUAUCAACUUGUGUGCAAUUAGAAGUAAGCGGAAGCAGACUGCCUGGCUUUCUGCAUUGCACUUGGAAGGGGUUUUGUCCAUAGUGCCAGCACGUCUGGCUCAAGCUUGCUGCUUGUGGGGACUUGCGGUACAAUUAGCACUGAGACCAUAAGAAAGCACCAUUGAAUUGUGCUGCACACAGCACUGCCCCCAGCUCAUACCUUUAGUUAUCUGAUUGAUAACUUGGCUGCAAAACCAAAUUCAGUUACCUAGGAUGCUGGCAGUACUCGCGGCUAGAUCAGCUUAUGCCGGAUGUGGAGGGUGCAUGGUUUAUUGUUCUGUUAGGACUGUGCUGGCUCAUCAUGGGACCAGAGGUAGCUCAAUCCUACAAGGUUGUUAAUGAGCUCAGACUAAGAGGGGAUGGAAAAUGAAAAUUUUUGAUUUGUGUAGUUUCAGAUAUUAAGUGCAGAGGAAUUCUGGAGUCUGUCCAGAAGACUAAACGGCUUACCAGAGGCUUAAUAGGCUACCUACAGUUAAACUGGGGUAUUGCCAUGUACUGGUUGGAAACAUAAAAAUCUUGUCUGUGUUCGCUAAAGUCAUCCAUUAUUGUCAUCUUCUCCGAAUAGUGUCUUGAAUAAAAGUAAUCGCUAUUAAAGGAGGAAAACCAACCGAUUACAGUAUUGCAUCUCCCGUUUUCUGUUAGACACAUUUGAGGAGGUAAAGAUGUUAACAGUUAGGUAGAUCAGAGGAUAAUUUAUUUUAAUAUGGACCUUUGGCAAUUAAAGGAGUGACAUACCUCCUUUCAUAGAAGGUGAAGACAUGCCCCAGACUUACUUCCGUCUCCCCUGUCAGCUGAAGCUGGGGUUUCCAUUACAUGUCUGUUAAAUGUCAUAUGGAAGAGGUGCCGUGUCCUGCUGUAUGGAAACACAGCUGUUUGUUCCCUAUGUAGAAAAUUGGGUGGAGAUCAGAGAGGAUGAGACCUGCUGGGCGUGGAAGGAGAGUUCUCAGUGUGAGAGCCAUCUACUACCUAAGGGCUUUGUAGCUGCUAACAUCUGAGAUUUAUAUUAGGAACGAGUAAAUGGUGUUGUGAUGGGAACUUUUUGACAGGUUGGAUAGCCCCCUUCACCACCUGAAUGGUUAGCUCAACUUAUCCAUCAAACCAUGGGGUAACCUCUCUUCAGAGCAAGGUAUGAAUUUCCAGUCAACUUAGCUGACUCCUUAUUAACAAAGCAGAUCUGAAAAACUUUUUCUAAGGAGAGGGGCUGAAACUUGAUCUAUAUUAUCAAAUCUUAUUGAAAAAAUAAGGUAAAGUCUGUUUUAUAAAACAUUGAUAAAAUGCCUACAGAAGACUUUUUUUACCCUGUAUUCAAAGGCAUCAUGAACAUGAUUUUUGGAGACAUAAAUUAACUGAAAGAGACCUUCAGUGAAAGCUGUGGUAGAGUCUAUACUAAUACUUCUAAAACUGCUGUUCAUCUAAGAUCAAUACCACUUAACCCAGAAGUUGCAGAUUUAUUUCAUAAUCAGACACUGAUUAUGCAGGAAGGAGGAUGGUUACCAGUGCAUAGUGCCAGGGAUUAAUCCUGGGCACUGUAGAUUGACUGUGGUACUAUUAAAUUCUUAGGAAGUUCCUUGACAGCUAUGGGUGACAAAUAGAGCUCUCCCAAACUGUUCCUGAGUGAGGGCCAGAGGCUAGCUUGGGCCACGGGCCACGCUCAGUAGGCAGUUUAGAUGGGGCUACCUUGCUUUGGAGGGUAGGAGAGAUCAAGAGUGUAAAUGCAGACUGCUCUGGAUUAAUUGACCUUAUUGCCAGAGGGUGCUCCUGUGCACAUUGAUAUAAUAUUAUUUGAAAACAGCUGACUUUCUGCCAGUUUUCCUUGUGCAACACCAUGGGCUUCACUGGAUUUUGCAGACCUUCUGGGAAGAGACAAGCGUCUCUUCUGACAAGAUGUUUGAGCCAAAUGUAUCUUCACUUUUAUCUUGGAUAAUACUAAUAAUAACAACUAUUGUUAUCAUUAUUAAGCAAUAUGAAUAAACCAUAAUGUAAAUUUU